rnacentral:rRNA from 1 species
AGCGCAGGCGGGUCGGUUCAGUCACUGGUGAAAUUUCGAGGCUUAACUUCGAGACUGCCAGUGAUACUGCUGAUCUUGAGCGCAGAAGAGGUUGAUGGAAUUCCUGGUGUAGCGGUGAAAUGCGUAGAUAUCAGGAAGAACACCGAUGGCGAAGGCAGUCAACUGGUCUGUUGCUGACGCUCAUGCUCGAAAGCGUGGGGAUCAAACAGGAUUAGAUACCCUGGUAGUCCACGCCUUAAACGAUGAAUACUCGAUGUCGGCCCGCAAGGGUCGGUGUCCAAGCUAACGCAUUAAGUAUUCCACCUGGGAAGUACGAUCGCAAAGUUGAA